GUCUUAGUGGCCUGAUGGAUAAGGCAUUGGCCUCCAAAGCCAGAGAUUGUGGGUUCAAGUCCCACCUAGGGUG